AAAAGACUUAGUCCUAACCUUACUAUUAAUUCUUACCAGACUUAUACAUGCAAGUAUCCGCGUCCCAGUGUAAAUGCCCUCAAUCCCUUAUCAAGACAAGAGGAGCAGGCAUCAGGCACACCCAUCGUAGCCCAAGACACCUUGCUUAGCCACACCCCCACGGGCACUCAGCAGUAAUUAACAUUAAGCAAUAAGUGUAAACUUGACUUAGUCAUGGUAAUCCAAGGGUCGGUAAAUCUUGUGCCAGCCACCGCGGUCAUACAAGAGACCCAAAUUAAUUGUCCACGGCGUAAAGAGUGGCCUAAUACUAUCGUCCUACACCUGAGGCCAAAACAUGUCCAAGCUGUCAUAAGCCCAAGACAUCCCUAAGCCCCCUAUAACCCCCACCUCAGCCUCAACGACUAACCACCCCCACGAAAGCCAGGGGACAAACUGGGAUUAGAUACCCCACUAUGCCUGGCCGUAAAUCCAGAUGCUUUUUCCACCUAAGCGUUCGCCAGGGGACUACGAGCACAAACGCUUAAAACCCUAAGGACUUGGCGGUGUCCCAAACCCACCUAGAGGAGCCUGUUCUAUAAUCGAUAACCCACGCUACACCCAACCCCCCCUUGCCCUAAGCAGCCUACAUACCGCCGUCGCCAGCUCACCUCUCCUGAGAGCCUAACAGUGAGCACAACAGCCUUACCCGCUAGAAAGACAGGUCAAGGUAUAGCCUAUGGGGGGGAAAGAAAUGGGCUACAUUUUCUGACCCAGACCACCAACGAAAGAGGGCCUGAAAACUACCCUCAGAAGGCGGAUUUAGCAGUAAAACACCACCAUCACGUUUGUUUUAAACCGGCCCUGGGACACGUACAUACCGCCCGUCACCCUCAUCACAAGCAUCCCCCUUUCCCUACCAUUAAAACUACAACCCGCCAGAGAUGAGGUAAGUCGUAACAAGGUAAGUGUACCGGAAGGUGCACUUAGCACAC
rnacentral:ncRNA from 1 species